rnacentral:rRNA from 1 species
AUUGAACGCUGGCGGCAUGCUUUACACAUGCAAGUCGAACGGUAACAGGCCUUCGGGUGCUGACGAGUGGCGAACGGGUGCGUAAUGCAUCGGAACGUACCCAGAGGUGGGGGAUAACGCAGCGAAAGCUGUGCUAAUACCGCAUGUGAUCUGAGGAUGAAAGCGGGGGACCGCGCAGCAAUGUUUGGCCUCGCGCCUUUGGAGCGGCCGAUGUCGGAUUAGCUAGUUGGUGGGGUAAAGGCCUACCAAGGCGACGAUCCGUAGCUGGUCUGAGAGGACGACCAGCCACACUGGAACUGAGACACGGCCCAGACUCCUACGGGAGGCAGCAGUGGGGAAUUUUGGACAAUGGGCGCAAGCCUGAUCCAGCAAUGCCGCGUGCGGGAAGAAGGCCUUCGGGUUGUAAACCGCUUUUGGCAGGAACGAAACGGUGUCCGCUAAUACCGGGCGCUAAUGACGGUACCUGCAGAAUAAGCACCGGCUAACUACGUG